rnacentral:rRNA from 1 species
CCUACGGGUGGCAGCAGUGAGGAAUAUUGGUCAAUGGGCUUACGCCUGAACCAGCCAAGUCGCGUGAGGGAAGACUGCCCUAUGGGUUGUAAACCUCUUUUGUCAGGGAGCAACGCCGGCUACGUGUAGCCGGACUGAGAGUACCUGAAGAAAAAGCAUCGGCUAACUCCGUGCCAGCAGCCGCGGUAAUACGGAGGAUGCGAGCGUUCUCCGGAUUUAUUGGGUUUAAAGGGUGCGUAGGCGGAUUGUUAAGUCCGUUGUGAAAGUUUGCGGCUCAACCGUAAAAUUGCAGUUGAAACUGGCAGUCUUGAGUACAGUAGAGGUGGGCGGAAUUCGUGGUGUAGCGGUAAAAUGCGUAAAUAUAUGUAAGAACACCAGUGGCGAAGGCGGCUUGCUGGGUCGAUACUGACAUUGAGGCACGAAAGCGUGGGGAGCAAACAGGAUUAGAUACCCUUGUAGUC